CUACUACUACUACUACACUACUACUACUGCUACUACUACUACUACUACUACUACUACUACUACUAUUACUAAUACUACUGUUACUACUACUACAAUUACUAAUGCUACUGCUACUACUACUAACACUAUUAAAGGCAACAUUUAUUAUGCGCUCUUGUGUAGCCUCACGAAGUAGGGAUUCGGGAUCAGAUUUUGGUAACAGCUGCCGGCGUAUUUUCUUUCUCUCUGUAUAAAGAGGACCCGAGAGAUCGAAAAACAGAACUAACGUCGAGGAAAAGGAAGGAGAGAGAGAGAGAUAGUGUCAGAAAGAUAACCAAGCAUCGUAGUAGCACACACAGGGUAGUCUGUGCUGAGCGAUGGUAACUAGGGUAUUGCGGGUUAUGGUCGAGCCAGGAGGCAUCGUUCGAAACGAUGGACCACGCCCCGGCUCUCUGCCAUCUCCGCUUCGACGACUCUCGAAGCACGAUCGAUCCUUUCCUCGCAACAACCUGGCAAAAAUUACCACCGCAAAAGUCGAGCACGAAACGGGACAGCCGAAUACGCCCCUGGAGCGAGCCGAGUUUCAAACUUGGAAUGUGCAUCACCAGUUACGAUUAUUUCGCGUAAUCCCCAGGCCCCUGCCAACGUCCAUUUCAGAUUACUGAUUGUGAGUAUGUACCAUACUAUCCUGUAUGCUCGAAUCGAUGUUCUCAUUGUCUCUGGCUGAUAUUAAUAUUUCACGUAUCUUUUUUUUAUUUUCAUCGUAAUUGAAAUUUUCUUAUCAUUUAAAAAUUACAAAUGUUCAAUAUAAUAUCUAACAUGGUGAUCCCUGAUCAUUCUGAUGAUAAUACAUUCUCAUUUCAUUCAAAUUCAUACUACCAAAAUUUGUUAUCAGUUUAUCUAGCGAUCAACAAAAUUAUUCUUAACGCAAUCGCUACUCUUAUUCUGUUGGUGAACUUAUCAAACCAAUCUUCUUAUCUUAACCAUUGAAAUGUUGAUAUCCUUGUGAAGAUCGAAGCUAGCCAGAAUUAACUUCUCUCUCUCUCUCUCUCUUUCUCUCUCUUUGUCUCUCUCUCUCUCUCUCUCUUUCUCUCUCUUUGUCUCUCUUUCUCUCUCUCUCCCUCUCUCUCUCUCUCUUUCUCUCUGUCUUGCUAUCUAUCUAUCUAUAUCUCUAUCUCUCUGCCCCUCUCCCACACCGGUCAAUCGAUUCCGUCUACCUAUGGUUUGACAACCUCGAUGCUUCUCUCCGCACUUCCACCCUCGCGACACGCAGACAGGGUGAAAGAGAGAGGGAGAGAGAGAUACGUGUGUCUACCACAUACGGGCUCUAUCGCUUCCCGUUUUAACCAUUGCCAGGAAGAAUGCAAUUUUCCGUCAUCGAACGCCGUACUGGCAGUUUUACCAUUCGUUUCAUUAUUCUCUUUUAACUUGAAACCUUUUUAUUUGAUUUGAUUUAAUUUAAUUUUGAUUCUUUUUUCCUUGAAAAUCUCUUCUCUGCUUUUGCUCUUUGUGGCUUUCAUUUUUACAAUUUUACUAUCAUAAUCCUCGUAUUAAUUUUUGUCCUCUCUUUUCAAUUUUGUAAAGUUAUGCUCAGUUAAAAAGGAUAAAACGGUGAAAGGGGAGAAGGAGCUUUCAUUCGUCUAGUACGAAAUUUCGAUUCUCCUCGUUAUGUCCUUUGUCCUAUUGUUAAUUCCUGAAUAAGUAGUUCCCACCUUGUCAGUUUUCAUGGCAGGUACUGGAUGCAUUCUCUCUCCUUCUCUUUUUCUCUUUCCCUUGCUUUGUCCUUCGGCCGAUUGGGAGCAGAACCGCUCGUCAGCCCUCUUUCCGCUAGAGUUGCUACGAGGAGCUCUCUGCCCUCUUUAGGCCUUCCAUUUCUCCUCGACAGCGCGACGAUAUCGAGGCACUUCUUCUCUUUUUCUCGAGUUGCCGCAAUUACGUGGUCCUAGAUGUCUUCCCUCUGACCUAUAACUCCUUUUACUUCUUUUCUUUUGUAUUCUUCUCAUAUCUUUUCGUUUUUGUUCUUCAAGUCUCUUCGAAAUUUAACAAUGAAAUUUGACAGAGCUAACAUUUUAUUAAGGUACAUUCUUUUUUUCAUUAUUUUUGCAUCUUUUUGUCAUCAUUAAUAUUUAUUUAUUAACGAUGAUAAUGAUGAUGAUGAUGAUGAUGAUGAUGAUGAUGAUGAUGAUGAUGAUGAUGAUGAUGAUGAUGAUGAUGCAAACAUUUUAUACAUUUUAUUUUGUUAUUAUUCUAGUCGAGUUUUCUACGAUAUUAAGGUUCAUCUGUCCAACAAUUCCUUUUAAAUUUCAUAAUUUUCUUAAGUUCGUUUCCGCAUUGGGACGAGUCUUGGAUUCGCGGAAUAAGAUGAUAUAUAAUUUAAAACGCCAUCUGCGCCUCUUCUCCACCCUGACGAUAGAAUCUCACAAAAUUAGAAUCUUUUUUAAGGUCGGUAAGCUAAUUACCGUUCCGUUGCCAGCGCUUGAUUAUAGUUUCGAAACGUCUCGGGAUCGACUCUCCUCGAGCUCUCUGAAGGUAAUUGCCAAAAUCAUGAUUGCGUUUAUAUGAAUUGUACGUCUUCUCUGUUUUUCGAAGGGCUGUGGAAAUUUCGGUGAAAGAGGGUCGAAGCUAGCCAACCAAUUACUAUGCUGUAUAAAGGAAAAAAAAGUAAUAAAAAAUAAAAAAUAAAAUAAAAUAAAAUAAAAUAAAACGAACAUACCUAACGCAGUUAAGAUAAUGUACAAGUCUCUAGUGUGAUACAUUUCUACGCUUAUUCUCUAACUGUAGUCGUGAAGUCUAAAGUACGAUACCUCGUUAUGGUUUGUAACACGGAGAAGUAGUCCUGUAAUAACUAAAUAAUAAUAAUAAUAACAAUAAUAUUAAUAUUAAUAUUAAUAUUAAUAAUAUUAAUAAUAAUAAUAAUAAUAAUAAUAAUAAUAAUAAUAACAAAAAUAAUAUUAAAAUAAAAUAUUAAUAAUAAUAAUGAAAAAAAAGUACGAUCAAAAAUCCGCUUAGGCUGACUGUUAACUCGCGAAAGACGUAUUGUAUUUCUGUAGGGAGCAAUUGUCCUAAUAAUUGCGAAUUGAACAUAAAGUAAAAAAAAAAAAAAAAAAAAAAGAAAAAAAAGAAAUGAGCAAGCAUAAAGCAACGUCACUGAGAGAACGUGAGAAAAAAGAGCUCAUAUAUAACAAGGAUAUAUAGAGGCGUGCGGAUCACCGAUUUAUGGAUGAAUGAAUGCGUGAAUAAUAAUGAAUGGAUGUGCAUAAUGAUGGACGAUCGACCAGUUCUGGUCGAUUCUCGAGUGUGUGUCACUUUAGCAAGCAAAGUAUUUCGAGAGUAUAGUGUUCGGAAUGUACAUAAUUCUUGUAUAUAACGAACGAAUCACUGAUUGUACAAUACCACCCAAAUAUAUUUAUAUUUCAUGUUAAUGCAACUUUUCUAAAAAGAACCCACUUUUUAUCUACCAAUAUUCAUUUUUGAUACUAUUUGCAAACAUUUACAUACAUGUAUUUAAAAUGACUCGUCGUCUCUGGUAAAAGCGAAAUUGAUGUUUAACGUUCAUCGAAGUGAGAAUUUUUUCCGUUCCUUUUUUUCUCCCUUACCUCCUUCGGAGUAUCGAUUAAAUGGAUGGGGUAAGUACGGUAGCAUGUUCGAGCAUUAAAACCAAGUUUAUAACAUAAUGGGGUACUUUCGAAUUCGAUCGAUUAUUCGACGAUGGAAUAUAUCCUAUCAUGUUAUUCCUUCGUAUGCAUUAACAGGGGCGCAAUUAUGCGUCGACCAUGAUACAACACGUGGUAGCCGGACGGUCUAAUUAGUCCUUGGAAUCGGUAAAGCCUUUGCUACAGUCGACUUAAUCCUAUUGUUAGUUUUUAUAUAAGCAAAAGUAUUUUAUGAUGAAAGAAACAAAGAGAAAAGUAUAAAAAUAUUUAAAUGAUGGAAUAAUGUGUAAUUCUGUUUUAUAAAGGUAUAUAUAACGUAAGUUGACUUUAUAAUAUCAUGACUUUUCGGCAUCAUAAAUUACAAAAAGAUAAAAGAAGUAGAAAGAUGAAAUGAAAUGAUAAAAAAGAAAUGGAAUAAUGAAAGGUGUGAUACCAGAAUGAUAUUAAUGAUCGUUAAUAAAAUAGAAUGAUAUAUUUAGGUUAACUUAUGAUAUAAUAUUAUUUAAUCGUUCAUAUACAUAUACAUAGAAUAUUAAAAAUUCAUUAUAUAAGGAUAUAUUCGCGAAAGAUGAAAACAGUGAAAGUUUGAGAUCUGAUUGGAUACAAUAUGGAUAUUGUACUGUCGUGUAGUAAAAAUCAUGAUUACAAAGAAAUUCACUAAUAAAUUAAUAAAAAGGACAAUUUUGUAAAACAGAAAUUACUGGCAUUUUAUCAACAUGAGUAAAAGAAAGAAAAUUCUUCGUUUUAUCAUAACGUUCGCAUAAGUUACAUUGUCAACAGGAAUAUUUAACCAAUUCUAAGUCUCUAAGAUUGAUUGUACUUCGUAGGUAAUUCUUUAUUCCAGUGGAGCCACCAUUUUUUCGGAGAACGAAGCUGUCAUAGAUAUUUAGACUGGUGCUGCUAUUCGUGCAAAGUGAUAACUUCCAACAACAACAGAAUUGUAAUGAUUGGUUCAUUUUGGACAUGCAUAUAAAUUUGUCCAAACGAUAAAAUUUCAAGAACCAAUCAGAUUAUAGAUUGAAAUAGAUAUUUGGGUAAAUAGAACAAGUCAACUCCAAGUUAUAUAAGUAUUUUAGAUAUACGAAUUCUUACGAUUUAAAAUAAUAAUCAACUGGUUUUUGUAUUUUAAGUGAGGUUAUUAUAUUUAUAUUUUUAUUCAGUAAAUUUUUAGAAGGAAGAUUAUGAAAACGUGAAGAAACAUCUUUAUUUUUUACGAUCCUAUUGUAGCAUUUAUGUAACAUAUAUGCAUGUAAAUGUAACACAGCCUUUAGAUACGAAUUAUAUACUGUUUUUUGUAAACGAUCCUUAAGAGUGAACUAAGUGCCGGGUGAUAACAUUACAUGAAAGCAUGAUACAUGCCGCAAGAUUUGCUUUAGUCUGUUGAGAGAUGGUGAAUUAACGCUUAAUAAUUCUCAUUGAAGUAUAAAAUAGUAAGCGUGUGAGUCGCUGUAAAUCUGUUUAUGUAUUAUGUAUUAUUUAUGCACUUUUCUAUUAGUACGUCUAAACAUUUUAUAACUUCUUUUAAUACUAUUCUUAUAACUUAACCUGUGUACUAGAUAGUGUAUACCUAUUUAGAAUUGACAAUUAUAUUAAAAACCUGCCAGAAUUGUGGACUACAAUAACGAAUUUUUUAUACAUAAAGAAAAGCAUUAUAUAAACCAAAUACUUGACAUCAAAAAUCAUCCAACUUUGUAAUGUAAUAUUGCAACGUAUGUAUUCAUUUAGUGACAUAGAAACAAUUUUCAUGCAAGAUUUUGUAUCGUAAAAUAAUUGUGGAAGUAUAGUUAGAAAAUAUAAACCAGUUUUGUAAGAAUAUACAUCUUACAAGCUAUAUUGAAAUCUGUUUUAUCAUCAUUAAAGUAAAUAUAUAAAAAGACUAG